rnacentral:rRNA from 1 species
GACGAACGCUGGCGGCGUGCUUAACACAUGCAAGUCGAACGGAAAGGCCCUGCUUUUGUCGGGUGCCCGAGUGGCGAACGGGUGAGUAACACGUGAGUAACCUGCCCUUGACUUUGGGAUAACUUCAGGAAACUGGGGCUAAUACCGGAUAGGAGCUCCUGCUGCAUGGUGGGGGUUGGAAAGUUUCGGCGGUUGGGGAUGGGCUCGCGGCUUAUCAGCUUGUGGGUGGGGUAGGGGCUUACCAAGGCUUUGACGGGUAGCCGGCCUGAGAGGGUGGCCGGCCCCGUUAGGACUGAGAUGCGACACAGACUCCAACGGGACGGAGCGGUGGAGUGUAGUACACAAUAGGCUGAGGCCUGAUGCGGCCACGCCGCGUGGGGGGUGACAGGCUUGGGGUAGUGAUGCAAUUUCGCCUGUGACGAGGCGUGAAUGACGGUAACGGAUAAAGAAGCACCGGCUAACUUCGUG